GAGUUUGAUCCUGGCUCAGAUUGAACGCUGGCGGCAGGCCUAACACAUGCAAGUCGAGCGGAUGACGGGAGCUUGCUCCUUGAUUCAGCGGCGGACGGUGAGUAAUGCCUAGGAAUCUGCCUGGUAGUGGGGGACAACGUUUCGAAAGGACGCUAAUACCGCAUACGUCCUACGGGAGAAAGCAGGGGACCUUCGGGCCUUGCGCUAUCAGAUGAGCCUAGGUCGGAUUAGCUAGUUGGUGGGGUAAUGGCUCACCAAGGCGACGAUCCGUAACUGGUCCGAGAGGAUGAUCAGUCACGACUGGAACUGAGACACGGUCCAGACUCCUACGGGAGGCAGCAGUGGGGAAUAUUGGACAAUGGGCGAAAGGCCUGAUCCAGCCAUGCCGCGUGUGUGAAGAAGGUCUUCGGAUUGUAAAGCACUUUAAGUUGGGAGGAAGGGCAGUAAGUUAA
rnacentral:rRNA from 1 species